rnacentral:snRNA from 1 species
GGUCAUGGUGUGGAUUUGGCUGCCACAUCUAUCACCCAUUGCUCUCCAGAGUUCAUUCUGCUCAUCUGACUUGCUAGGUGAGAUCCUUUUUACCACACAGGUCUCCAUUAGCAUCUCCCGCAAAGCUCAAUCAAAAGGGAUGACUUUCCCUUAUGGAGAAGAAGUCAUCUGCAAUCAAGGGAACUGAAGCUGCUAAAUUCCCUGGUUAUAAAUACAAAACUAGUUCUGCUUGGUGUGGGGGGGGCAGGUGGAAGGGUAAAUAAUUUUCUUUAAUUUGCUAUAU